GUCCAGUGUUCCAGGAAAAAAGCAGAAUGAAUCAGGAUUUCAUUUUUGGAGUGUUAUCUGACUGCCUUUGCUUAGUUGUUAAGCACAAGGCUGGAUAUUAGAAAACUGUGAAUUCUACUCCUGCCUGAGGCCCAAAGCCAGCUGGGUAACUUGGGCCAGUGACUCUGUCGACCCUAGGAAAGAGGCAAUGGCAAACUAUUUCCAAAAAGCCUUGCCAAGAAGAUUGCAGAGAUUAGUCCAAGCUACCCCACAGGAAGGUACAAAAAUAAAAACAAAAUA